rnacentral:lncRNA from 1 species
AUUUAUUUUUUAUUUAGGAGGAGUGACUGAGUCGUAUUCAUUCUUGUUCUAUAAAUGUAAGUCUGCAGCUCAUACAUUUUAAAGUGAUGCAUAGAUUACACUAUACUAAAGCCAAACUUGCUGUAUCCGACCAUCUCUUCUCUGUGUGAUAAGUGCAAAGGCUUAGUUGGGACCUGUGGUCAUAUAUUCUGGUCCUGUCCAGAAGGAUCUGAAUUUUGGAGAAGUAUCUUAGGACUUUACUCCCAGGCUUUUGACAUGAAAAUUAAAAUUUAUGUGGACAUAGCACUGUUUGGAUGUUCAGACUAGGUUCUAACUUGGCCUAAACAUCAACAACUCUCCCAUGUUUGGCAUGGUGCUGGCCAAGAGAGGGAUUGAGAUGGAGUGAAAAUCCUUGACACCUCCACAUUUUUUUAAAUGGUUAGCUGAAAUUAUUUCUGCCCUUAAGCUGGAAAGGUUACGUUACUCUAGAUUUAGCAAACAGAAGUUGUAUGCCAAAAUAUGGGGCCCCUUCAUUAGAUGUAUAAGUUAAUAAUGUUUUUGUAAUAAUUUAUUUUUGUUAAUAUUUUUUUCUUUUUCUCUUCUCUUCUCUCUUUUUACAUGUCAUUCUAUGUUGUUUCUUAUUCCAUUAAUCUGGCUGAGACUUUUUUUUAAAUGUUUUUUUUUAUUAUUAUUUAUGGUGCUGUAUAAUUACUGUAUUGUUUGCUAGGGUUUUGGUGCAUGUUCUAGUUAGUACCAGGUAGUCACACUAAGAUAAUUUUGUUAACAGAUAUAUAGAUGUACACUAUUUGGUCUUAUGUUUUUACAAAAACUUCUAUGAAUAAAGUA